rnacentral:rRNA from 1 species
GCGCACGGGUGAGUAACACGUGACUAACCUACCCUGGAGUGGGGGAUAACUGAGGGAAACCUUAGCUAAUACCGCAUAACACCUACGGGUCAAAGGAGCAAUUCGCUUCAGGAGGGGGUCGCGGCCGAUUAGUUAGUUGGCGGGGUAAUGGCCCACCAAGACAGUGAUCGGUAUCCGGCCUGAGAGGGCGCACGGACACACUGGAACUGAAACACGGUCCAGACUCCUACGGGAGGCAGCAGUGGGGAAUUUUGCGCAAUGGGGGAAACCCUGACGCAGCAACGCCGCGUGGAGGAUGAAGUACUUCGGUACGUAAACUCCUUUCGAUCGGGACGAUAAUGACGGUACCGGAAGAAGAAGCCCCGGCUAACUUCGUGCCAGCAGCCGCGGUAAUACGAGGGGGGCAAGCGUUGUUCGGAAUUAUUGGGCGUAAAGGGUGCGUAGGCGGUUUGGUAAGUCAGGGGUGAAAUCCUGGAGCUCAACUCCAGAACUGCCUUUGAUACUGGAAGUCUUGAGUCCGGGAGAGGUGAGUGGAACUGCGAGUGUAGAGGUGAAAU